rfam:Zootermopsis nevadensis contig22231, whole genome shotgun sequence.
GCCACGGUGGUCUAGCGGUUAGAACGCUUGCCUUGUAAUCCUGGGGUCUCGGGUUCGAUUCCCGGCGGUGCCC